UGACCAACCUUGCCCCUAAACUCUGGGAUAACCCCGGGAAACCGGAGCUAAUACCGGAUACGAGACCGAGUGGCAUCACACGGUCUGGAAAGUUUUUCGGCCAGGGAUGGGCUCGCGGCCUAUCAGCUUGUUGGUGAGGUAAUGGCUCACCAAGGCGACGACGGGUAGCCGGCCUGAGAGGGCGACCGGCCACACGUGGGACUGAGACACGGCCCAGACCUCCGUACGGGAGGCA
rnacentral:rRNA from 1 species